CUGAAAGAGAGGCAAAUCCAAAUUACCUUAGAGACUUGUAGAAAGAAAGUAGCUGCACAAAGGAGAAAGAUAUUCAUCUUCCAGGUGUGGCGAUCUGGGAGGACUUCACAGAGUUGAUGUUAAAGCUGACGCCUGGUGGGUAGCUGUCCAGUUUUCCCAGUUGCACUUAUUGAAGAGAAUGUCUUUUCUCCAUGGUGUAUUCUUAUCUCCUUUGUCAAAGGCACCUAGCCCAUUCUGGGCUCAAGGAGUCAGAGGAAGUAUGCAACAAGGAGAAAGCAAAUGAAUUCUUUCUGGCAGUCUUUGCUAAAGGUUCAGCCUUUGGAGAAAAAUUUCUGGAAAAUAGUUAAAUGUUUGAGAGAAAUAUCAUGAGAGAAAGAGAAAGCAGGACACUUUCCACCCACCAGACGAAAGUUUCACAGCUGAAACAAAGAGGUAGAGAAUGAAACAGACAAGGAGUUUCAGACUUCUGCUACUUUACAAGGCACAGCUCUAAGCAGAGCAGGAAUGACCUACAUAACUUCAUAUAGGAGGACAGGCCAGACUCUGAAAGAACAAGCUUAGAAAUUGCCAAAAACCCCAAAGUACCUCAUGCUGAUGCUGAAUCACUGUUAGAUGUUCUUGGAGGAUGAUCCUGAGUUCGUGAAUGUGCCUAUCAUAAGAGUAGCUGGACCACCACUGCAGCAGACCUUAAAUGAAGUGGCCUUCUCUACACCUGUCCAUCAUCACCGUGGAAAGAGGUAAGACUGUGUGCAAGAGGUGGAGGGAGGGAGAACGAAAGGGAAAGUGGGAGAGAGACAGAGCGAGAAUUUUGC
ensembl:lncRNA